rnacentral:sRNA from 1 species
GUAACAUAACAGUUAGCGUUCCGCAUCGCGAGUGGCACAUCUCAUUGUUCUUAUGGCUUGAACCCUGGCGAAGAAGGUUAUGUUCUGAGCUGGCUUGUUCUUUUUCGAAUAAGAGGUUUAUACAUCACCUGGAAACUUGAAGGCAUUCCUAGUUGGCUCUUUGCAAAACCUUUAUGGAUUGAUCAAGACCAGACUUCAAGGAUUGAAUGUCCAGUGAAUUCCUGGAGAGGAUGGUCACAGGACGCAUAACUCUAAGCACAUAUGGCCACAGUUGUCCCCAGGGGAUUAGAAUUUUUGUGGAGAUCCAACAAAUAUCCACGAAAGCAUAGGAACAAACAGCAAUGAACAAGAUGAAUCUGGAAAGAUAAGUUCCCGCAAAACCCAUUCAAAAAGAUGUCGCUUGAUUCUUUCAAGUCCCUGAAGGUCUCCGUCAAUUGAGUUCGCCACUUCCUUCCCAACCCAUCCUUGAGGAUAACCUCCUCCCAAAUCAAUCAAAUAUGCAUCUUCAUUGACAUCAACUAGCACAUUGGCAGCUUUUGCAUCUCCCCGGAUAAUAUCAUGUGAAUGAAGACACUCCAGUGUAUGGGAAAUUUGGUCAUCCCACUUUUGCCAAAGUUUGGAAUACUUGGGAUCAUGUCUAUCAAUGUAAUGGAGUGUCGAUCCACAACAAUGAUGUAUGAUAAAAGCAGCCCUUCAACAUGUCCAUUUCCAUCUUCAAUCAGGCC